GCAGCCAUGCCGCGUGGCAGGAAGACUGCCCUAUGGGUUGUAAACUGCUUUUAUACGGAAAAAAACCCCCCUACGUGUAGGGGCUUGACGGGACCGUACGAAUAAAGAACGGCUAACUCCGUGCCAGGAGCCGCGGUAAUCAAAUAA
rnacentral:rRNA from 1 species